ensembl:lncRNA LINC01182 long intergenic non-protein coding RNA 1182
GGCAACCACCAGAGGCCAGAAAGAGCAACAGAAAAUGGGCUAAGACAUGGAGCAAGGGGCAGAACGACUCUUGAAGAUGCUGAGCAACUUCUGCUCAGCCACUUGGGUCUCCUUUGCCAAGGAGUGUCCUCCCUCUGGAACUCAAUACCAGCUCUUUCUUCUUCUGGAAUCUUCUCUCAGCUCUUUUAAGGAACUCAGAAGAGAAGUACCCCAUCUCUGGUUGGAAAACACUCCAGGAGAGGCAGCUUCAAGGAGAUGGCAUGUGGAUGGAAAUGUUUAGCAAGAGCAAGCUUUAUCCUGGUCAGGGGCAGUCAGUGGGCAUUCUAGGCAGAGGGAGUGGCCCUGGAAAAGGGGAGAAGCUUAUAAAGUUGAUUCACUGACUGCUGGUUUGAAAUGGUGUCUGCUAACAAACAGUUGCUGGUACAGCUUCUCUGUAAUGUGAGGUAAAAUACCUAUAAAAGCUUAGAAGAAGAUGUAAACUCAGAACACAGCCAUAAACUUGGACUGACAAUCCCCUGAAGACUGGAUCUGGGAGGACUUUUUGCCAAUAGUACUGCCAAUGAAACUGAAAAGAAAAGAACAUUCUAUGGGUGUGGGUGUGUUACUGAGGAAAUGCUCUGUAGGCAAGAGUUUGCUCUGCUUAAUGAAAAAAAGUUUCAACUACAGUGCUGUUCUGUGAAGGGGAAUGGGUGCUGGAGAGCUAAGCAGGAAGCAGGAGGCAGGAGGGACUGUCUGCAGCAAUCAGCAGCCUACUCAACAUGGAGACGAUGAGGAUGAAGACCUUUAUGAUGAUCCACUUCCACUUAGUAAAUAUGAGGACAACAUGGAAUGAUCCCUAAGGUGGAGCAGGAAGCUGUCAAGAGAGGGGAAAAGGUGAAGGAUUCCUGGAGGCUGCUCAGCAAUCCAUCUAAGACAAAAUGCAAAAGAACCUCUUAAAGAUCUUUCCCUACACUGGUGGCCUGGGGAACAAAUCACAUUUGGAGAAUUGAAGAAAUCUUAAAAUGCAAGCAUAUUAAGCCCUUUUCCCCCAAAUCACUUAAGGUAUCUAAUACUUAUUAAAUAAUUAUAUGUGCA